UACGUAGGGACCGAGCGUUGUCCGGAAUCAUUGGGCGUAAAGAGCGUGUAGGCGGCCUUUUAAGUCCUGCGUGAAAUCCUGCGGCUCAACCGCAGACGGUCGUGGGAAACUGGGUGGCUAGAGUGCGGGAGAGGAGAGUGGAAUUCCUGGUGUAGCGGUGGAAUGCGCAGAUAUCAGGAAGAACACCCGUGGCGAAGGCGGCUCUCUGGAACGCAACUGACGCUGAGACGCGAAAGCGUGGGGAGCAAACAGG
rnacentral:rRNA from 1 species